rnacentral:tRNA from 1 species
GGGGCUGUCGGCUAGUAUGGUCUAGGCUUCGAGGCUUGGGCCCUCGAGAUCGUGGGUUCAAAUCCCACCAGCCCCA